CACUAGGAAGCUAAACAGGGUUCAGCACUAGCCUUUUAAGCUAGUUAUUGGUGCCUCCCAACCACCUCUAGUGA
rnacentral:tRNA from 1 species